rnacentral:rRNA from 1 species
UACGUAGGGUCCAAGCGUUGUCCGGAUUUAUUGGGCGUAAAGAGCUCGUAGGCGGCUCGGUAAGUCGGAUGUGAAACCUCCAGGCUCAACCUGGAGUCGCCAUCCGAUACUGCUGUGGCUUGAGUCCGGUAGGGGAGCAUGGAAUUCCUGGUGUAGCGGUGAAAUGCGCAGAUAUCAGGAGGAACACCGGUGGCGAAGGCGGGUCUCUGGGCCGAUACUGACGCUGAGGAGCGAAAGCGUGGGGAGCGAACAGG